UACGGAGGGUGCAAACGUUGCUCGGGAUCAUUUGGGCGUAAAGCGCACGUAGGCGGUCCAGCAAGUCGGGUGUGAAAGCCCUCGGCUUUAACCGAGGAAGUGCAUUUCGAAACUACUGGACUUGAAUACUGGAGAGGAUCGCGGAAUUCCCGGUGUAGAGGUGAAAUUUCGUAGAUAUCGGGAGGAACACCAGUGGCGAAGGCGGCGAUCUGGACAGAGUAUUGACGCUGAGGUGCGAAAGCGUGGGAGCAAACAGG
rnacentral:rRNA from 1 species